AAACUAACAAGGAUUCCCCUAGUAACUGCGAGUGAAGCGGGAUGAGCUCAAAUUUAAAAUCUGACUGCUUUGGUAGUCCGAGUUGUAAUCUGGAGAAGCAUUUUCUGUGUUGGACCGUGUACAAGUUUCUUGGAAUAGAAUGUCAUAGAGGGUGAGAAUCCCGUCCAUGACACGGACUACCAAUGCUCUGUGAUAUGCUCUCAAAGAGUCGAGUUGUUUGGGAAUGCAGCUCAAAAUGGGUGGUAAGUUCCAUCUAAAGCUAAAUAUUGGCGAGAGACCGAUAGCGAACAAGUACCGUGAGGGAAAGAUGAAAAGCACUUUGAAAAGAGAGUUAAACAGUACGUGAAAUUGUUGAAAGGGAAACGCUUGAAGUCAGUCGCAUUUUCUGGAAUUCAGCCUUGCUAUUGCUUGGUGCACUUUCUAGUAAAUGGGUCAACAUCAAUUUUGGUUGGUGGAUAAAGGUUGAAGGAAUGUGGCAUCCUUGGAUGUGUUAUAGCCUUCUACCGUAUACACUGGCUGGGAUUGAGGUCUGCAGCAUGCCUUUAUGGCCGGGGUUCGCCCACGUAUCAUGCUUAGGAUGUUGGCAUAAUGGCUUUAAGCGACCCGUCUUGAAACACGGACCAAGGAGUCUAACAUGCUUGCGAGUAUUAGAGUGGAAAACUCUUGUGCGUAAUGAAAGUGAAAGUUGGGACUCUUCGCAGAGGCACCGACGCCCGGCCCUGAAGUUUACUGACGGUGCUGCGGUAGAGCACGUAUGUUGGGACCCGAAAGAUGGUGAACUAUGCCUGAAUAGGGUGAAGCCAGGGGAAACUCUGGUGGAGGCUCGUAGCGAUUCUGACGUGCAAAUCGAUCGUCAAAUUUGGGUAUAGGGGCGAAAGACUAAUCGAACCAUGCGAGUAGCUGGYUCCUGN
rnacentral:rRNA from 1 species